GAACCGGAGCUAAUACCGGAUAAUAUUUUGAACCGCAUGGUUCAAAAGUGAAAGACGGUCUUGCUGUCACUUAUAGAUGGAUCCGCGCUGCAUUAGCUAGUUGGUAAGGUAACGGCUUACCAAGGCGACGAUGCGUAGCCGACCUGAGAGGGUGAUCGGCCACACUGGAACUGAGACACGGUCCAG
rnacentral:rRNA from 1 species